rnacentral:rRNA from 1 species
GGUUUGAUUCUGGCUCAGAUUGAACGCUGGCGGGAUGCUUUACACAUGCAAGUCGAACGGCAGCACGGACUUCGGUCUGGUGGCGAGUGGCGAACGGGUGAGUAAUGUAUCGGAACGUGCCUAGUAGCGGGGGAUAACUACGCGAAAGGUAGCUAAUACCGCAUACGCCCCGGGGGAAAAGCGGGGACCUUCGGGCCUCGCACUAUUAGAGCGGCCGAUAUCGGAUUAGCUAGUUGGUGGGGUAACGGCUCACCAAGCGGCGACGAUCCGUAGCUGGUUUGAGAGGACGACCAGCCACACUGAAACUGAGACACGGCCCAGACUCCUACGGGAGGCAGCAGUGGGAAUUUUGGACAAUGGGGGAAACCCUGAUCCAGCCAUCCCGCGUGUGCGAUGAAGGCCUUCGGGUUAGAAAAGCACUUUUGGCAGGAAAGAAACGGCACGGGAUAAUACCCCAGGCAACUGACGGUACCUGCAGAAUAAGCACCGGCUAACUACGUGCCAGCAGCCGCGGUAAUACGUAGGGUGCAAGCGUUAAUCGGAAUUACUGGGCGUAAAGCGUGCGCAGGCGGUUCGGAAAGAAAGAUGUGAAAUCCCAGAGCUUAACUUUGGAACUGCAUUUUUAACUACCGAGCUAGAGUGUGUCAGAGGGAGGUGGAAUUCCGCGUGUAGCAGUGAAAUGCGUAGAUAUGCGGAGGAACACCGAUGGCGAAGGCAGCCUCCUGGGAUAACACUGACGCUCAUGCACGAAAGCGUGGGGAGCAAACAGGAUUAGAUACCCUGGUAGUCCACGCCCUAAACGAUGUCAACUAGCUGUUGGGGCCUUCGCCUUGGUAGCGCAGCUAACGCGUGAAGUUGACCGCCUGGGGAGUACGGUCGCAAGAUUAAAACUCAAAGGAAUUGACGGGGACCCGCACAAGCGGUGGAUGAUGUGGAUUAAUCUGAUGCAACGCGAAAACCUUUACCUACCCUUGACAUGUCUGGAAUCCCGAAGAGAUUUGGGAGUGCUCGCAAGAGAACCGGAACACAGGUGCUGUACGGCUGUCGUCAGCUCGUGUCGAGAUGUUGGGUUAAGUCCAACGAGCGCAACCCUGUCACAAGCUGCUUACGAAAGGGCACUCUAUCGAGACUGCCGGUGACAAACCGGAGGAAGGUGGGGAUGACGUGUCAAGUCCUCAUGGCCCUUAUGGGUAGGGGUCAGCCACGUCAUACAAUGGUCGGGACAGAGGGUCGCCAACCCGCGAGGGGGAGCCAAUCCCAGAACCCGAUCGUAGUCCGGAUCGCAGUCUGCAACUCGACUGCGUGAAGUCGGAAUCGCUAGUAAUCGCGGAUCAGCAUGUCGCGGUGAAUACGUUCGUCUUGUACACACCGCCCGUCACACCAUGGGAGUGGGUUUUACCAGAAGUAGUUAGCCUAACCGUAAGGAGGGCGAUUACCACGGUAGGAUCUAUGACUGGGUGAAGUCGUAACAAGGUAG